CAGCAAGCAAAACGCAAUUUUAGUUUGCACCCCCGAAACUAAGUGAGCUACUUUAAAACAGCCAUAUUGGGCCAACUCGUCUCUGUUGCAAAAGAGUGAGAAGAUUUUUAAGUAGAAGUGACAAGCCUAUCGAACUUAGAGAUAGCUGGUUAUUUGGGAAAAGAAUAUUAGUUCUGCCUUAAGCUUAUAUUAACACCAUUCUAAGCAACUUAAGAGUUAUUCAAAUAAGGUACAGCCUAUUUGAUACAGGAAACAACCUAAAACAUAGGGUAACGCUACCUACAUUUACAUAAUUAAGUUGGCCUAAAAGCAGCCAUCUUUUAAAAAGCGUCAAAGCUUAAUUAUUUUAUAACAACAAUCACAACAAAAAUGCCAAACCCACUACCACUACCAAAUAACUUUAUAUAAUUAUAAAAGAUAUUAUGCUAAAACUAGUAAUAAGAAAAUGACUUUCUCCUAAAUAUAAGUGUAAUGCAGAAUGAACAAAUCACUGCUAAUUAUUGUUUUUGAUAAUAUAGUAGCAACCUCCCUAGAAAACCCUACUAUAAAUAACAUUAACCUAACACAAGAAUAUUACAGGAAAAAUUAAAAGAAAAGGAAGGAACUCGGCAAACUAUAACCU
rnacentral:rRNA from 1 species